AGAACGCUGAAUUAGCCAAAACUGUACUUCUAACAAUCCCCCUUUUGUUUAAUAUUGUUUAAAAGUUUGGAUUUUGUUGCUGCUUUGUUGGGUUUUCACUGUGUUCUUUUCUGACUGCUCGUGGAAAAACUUUUGAUUUUAGUCUUUUUAUGAAGCUGUGGGUUUUGACUUGUGGGAAUGUUAGUUUUAGCGUAACCAUGAGGCUCUUUUGGAUUUUGCAUGGAUCUGAAGAAGUUAUUCAAUGAAACUCAGAUGAAUUUAUCUGCUUGUUUUCUUGAAUUAGUUAAAUUAUAUUUGUUUGUU
rnacentral:misc_RNA from 1 species